UCGCCCUUCGGUUGAUCCUGCCGGAGGCUACCGCUAUUGGAGUUCGAUUAAGCCAUGCGAGUCGCGAGAAAUUAGAUUCUCGGCGUACCGCUCAGUAACACGUGGGUAACCUGCCCUAUGCUGGGGAAUAACCUCGGGAAACUGAGAAUAAUGCCCCAUAGUUCACCACACCUGGAACGGUGGGUGGAUGAAAGCUCCGGCGGCAUAGGAUGGGCCUGCGGCGUAUCAGGUUGUAGGGGGUGUAAUGUACCCUCUAGCCAUCUACGCGUACGGGUGUUGAGAGACAUCGCCCGGAGAUGGAUUCUGAGACACGAAUCCAGACCCUACGGGGUGCAGCAGGCGCGAAAACUUGGCAAUGCGAGCAAUCGUGACCAGGGAACUCCAAGUGCAUCGGGUAAGACCGGUGCUUUUCUUGACUCUAAAUAGGUCUUGGAAUAAGGGGUGGGUAAGGACGGUGCCAGCCGCCGCGGUAAUACCGGCGCCUCAAGUGGUAGUCGCUUUUAUUGGGCCUAAAACGUCCGUAGCCUGUUUGGUACAUUCGUGGGUAAAUCAACCAGCUCAACUGAUUGAAUUCUGCGAGCACGGCCAGACUUGGGACCGGGAGAGGUGUGGGGUACGCUCAGGGUAGGGGUAAAAUCCUGUCAUCCUGAGCGGACCACCUGUUGCGAAGGCGCCACACUAGAACGGAUCCGACGGUCAGGGACGAAGCCUAGGGGCACGAACCGGAUUAGAUACCCGGGUAGUCCUAGGUGUAAACGCUGUGGACUUGGUGUUGGGGAUUCUCCGAGGAUUCUCAGUGCCGAAGCGAAGGUGUUAAGUUUACCGCCUGGGAAGUACGUACGCAAGUAUGAAACUUAAAGGAAUUGGCGGGGGAGCACCACAAGGGGUGAAGCCUGCGGUUCAAUUGGAGUCAACGCCAGAAAUCUUACCCGGAGAGACAGCAGAAUGAAGGUCAAGCUGAAGACUUUACCAGACAAGCUGAGAGGUGGUGCAUGGCCGUCGCCAGCUCGUGCCGUGAGAUGUCCUGUUAAGUCAGGUAACGAGCGAGAUCCCUGCCUCUAGUUGCCACCAUUACUCUCAGGAGUAGUGGGGCGAAUUAGCGGGACCGCCGCAGUUAAUGCGGAGGAAGGAAGGGGCCACGGCAGGUCAGUAUGCCCCGAAACUCUGGGGCCACACGCGGGCUGCAAUGGUAAUGACAAUGGGUUCCGAAUCCGAAAGGAGGAGGUAAUCCCCAAACAUUACCACAGUUAUGACUGAGGGCUGCAACUCGCCCUCACGAAUAUGGAAUCCCUAGUAACUGCGUGUCAUUAUCGCGCGGUGAAUACGUCCCUGCUCCUUGCACACACCGCC
rnacentral:rRNA from 1 species